rnacentral:snoRNA from 1 species
CUCCGCCUCUCUACCAAACACUCGUAAGUACUAUUUAUUGCGAGUGCAUGGAAGAGGCGAAUAGAGAACGGAACGUUGUCCACCCCUUCAAUCAUCAUCAAAUUGGAUUGCGGGCACUUUACCACGGUCGACAUUU